AUGGCAUAGUAAUUCCUGGACGCGUAUUUUCAUUUACACCGUAGUCUAAGGUAUUUUGUUGUGGGGCCAUUGGCCCAUGAAAAGAGUGCUCAGUACGUAUGCGUGCGAGCAUUCGGAUUUAAAGUAUAGGGACGGAAACAUGACAUACAUGUAUAUCGCCGUUGUCAAGAAAGUCCAAAGGAUUGCAGUAGGCCUACAUGUCACUAAAACUUGGAGGACGGCUCGUUAUUGCAAAGCUUUGCUGCUGUAAUUUACGUGUAAGCUGACCAAGCCUAGAGGAAAUGACAUCUCUGUGGCCAAACUGCUCCUUUUUCAUCUCGUCUGAAUACAGAACUGACGACCAGACACUUUGAUCCUUGUCCCGGUGCCUUCUGGCAAAUAUCUCUUCAACCACAAACAUCGGGACAAUACACGUCUUACCAUCAGCAGCCCUAGCGAACAGCAGAUCUGAUUUAGCAGUCGUUUAUUGAUGCCACCAGACGCAGAAUAUUGCGCAGCGUCCCCAAAGUUUCGGACUACUCCAGUGUGCAUCAUGGUCACCAAUACACACAUGUCCAGACUGACAGCAGUUCAUAUUCCGGUCCACACCUGAAGCUGACCAACUUAAACACAUCGACCUGGACAGACCUCUGCAAGGGGAAAAAAACGUUAGCACUAGCCUAACUUCAUGUCCUCAACCCAUCAGUAGUGUAGACUCUUCUGGAGUAACCUAGAAAAAAAACAUAAGUACUGUUAUAUGUAGUACAUGCAUGGGUGGAAAUCCCGGGGGAUGGGGGUAUAUACCCCCCCACACCCACUUUUUGUGGUGGGGGUGGGCUAUUGAAUCAUCCUAGGCCGUCAGCUCAGACUGAGAAACAGGCUGUAAAAAACGAGUUCCGUUCCAGCAACGCUGAGAAUACUUUUUGAAUGCAUAAAUGUGAGUUUCUGUACAUCCCAAACGUUGUCAGAAGUUCUCCAAAAAGACCUGCAGUUUUUUAGUAAUUCCAUCUUAAAUUUAGCCAUAGUCUUGUAUGCUAUAAUGCACAAUACAUGUACAUGUAUGCACUUCUAAGGCUUUGUUUGGGCACUUCCAAGUUUCAAAUUAGAAAACUGCGAUUAAAUUUUAAUUUUGUAUUAAGAUUAUAUGUGACAAAUUAAGAAAAGACAGCACAUGACUUUUGUCAGGUGACACCCGGCCACAG